AUACGGAUGGUGCGAGCGUUGUUCGGAAUUACUGGGCGUAAAGGGCGCGUAGGCGGCGAUGUAAGUCAAAUGUGAAAGUCCUCGGCUUAACCGGGGAAGUGCAUCUGAAACUGCAUUGCUUGAGUAUGGGAGAGGAAAGUGGAAUUCCCGGUGUAGAGGUGAAAUUCGUAGAGAUCUGGAGGAAUACCGGUGGCGAAGGCGACUUUCUGGACCAAUACUGACGCUGAGGCGCGAAAGCGUGGGGAGCAAACAGGAUUAGAAACCCCAGUAGUCC
rnacentral:rRNA from 1 species